UCCUUGGUGGCUCAAAGGGUAGCAUCUGCCUGCAAUGCAGGAGACCCAAGUUCGAUCCCUGGAUCGGGAA
rnacentral:tRNA from 1 species